rnacentral:rRNA from 1 species
AACGAACGCUGGCGGCAUGCCUAACACAUGCAAGUCGAACGCCUGUAGUCAAUACAGGAGUGGACGCACGGGUGAGUAACGCGUGGGAACCUGCCCUGGAGUGGGGAUAACCGAGAGAAAUUUCGGCUAAUACCGCAUACGUCCUGAGGGAGAAAGAUUUAUCGCUCUAGGAGGGCCCGCGUCGGAUUAGCUAGUUGGUGGGGUAACGGCCUACCAAGGCAACGAUCCGUAGCUGGUCUGAGAGGAUGAUCAGCCACACUGGGACUGAGACACGGCCCAGACUCCUACGGGUGGCAG